rnacentral:snRNA from 1 species
GUGUUCACUUUCAGCAUCACAUAUACUAAAAUUAGGAUGAUACAGAGAAGAUUAGCGUCAUUCCUUGUGUAAGGAUGACAUGCAAAGUCAUGAAGGGAGACCGUAAUUU